AACACCAGAAAACUAAGCCGA
rnacentral:snRNA from 1 species